rnacentral:lncRNA from 1 species
CACCUAGCUCUUCAAGUCCUGCUCUCUGGCAGUUCCUUCCCCGUUCCUCCUCCCUCUCCAGUUUCUGUCACAGAGCCAGCCUGAAAACAGGAGGAGGCUGAUUUUUGCCAGCUGCAGAGAGUUUACAUUUGAAGUUCUGGGAACUCUUGAGAGAGCCUGGGGCAACUGCUGCUGAUCCCUGCUGCUGAUCCCUGCUGCUGCUGCUGCUGCUGCUGCUGCUGCUGCUGCUGCUGCUGCUGCUGCUGCUGCUGCUGCUGCUGCUGCUCCCCACGGUUGCUGGUUCUCUCUGUUGUGUUUGCUGCUUUUGCUAUUGCUGGAUUGCUGGGUUUCUGUUUGCUGCAUUGCCGCUUGGAGAUAUCCUGACACAGAUUGGCCUCCUUCCUAGAAACCCAGUGCCCCUAAGUAAUGGAUGAAUCAUGAAUAGGUUCACAACACUGUCUGUGUCUCAGACACGGAGAACGGGUGACUUGGGAGAGCUAAUCAAGGAGAGCUUGCCAGGAAUGGAUGUUUGCUUGUAUGUUUCGGAGUUUAAAAAGCUAUGCAUUCAAGUCUGUAGGAGAUGUUGGAGUAUGCACAAAAGUCAAUACAAAAUACUAAGC